rnacentral:lncRNA from 14 species
AUUGGUGCUUAAUCAUUUUUCUGCUUUCAGGUCACUGGUUGAAGUUAGCUGUGCUCUUUUUACUUCACUAAAAUGACUUAAUAAAAUAGAUGGCAAGACCCAAGCACUAAGGAAGGUCUCUUUACAGGUUUUGCUUUUGGAGCCUGCUUCUAAUGCUUCAAAGAUGCUUCUGCAAAACAGCAGAUGCUAAUGCUAACAUGUAUUUACAAAAAUAAGCCUGGAUUCCAGCUUGGAAAAACACAACCUUGCUAAGAGACACAGCCUUCCUGCCUCCUUCCUGAUGGAGCCCAUGAGAAAGUGCCACGAUCUCCAUCUCCACUGAUGACUCCAAAAUACAGAGCCUUCAGACAAGACUUCUGAUACACAAAUCGUUGUGUGCAAUGGCUUCAUCAACAUGAGACAGGGAAAUGCUUCAGGAAUGAGAAGUACAAAAAUGUGGAGUGAGUUCCUCCAGCUUCAAUAGCAAACAGCCUUUUUGUUUAUCCCUCUUGCCCAAUUCAGUACCACAGAAACAAAACCUCUUUAAAGACAAUAAAUUCCCAGCAUAUCCUCGAGGUUUUGCCUCCUGCUUCCUCUCCCUCUUCCUGGGCCAGCAGAAGCUGCCACAUCUGCCAGCAUGUGCUUCCUUUAAUGUCUUCACUUUCCUCCAUGAUUCUCUGCUGACCUCUGGAAACUCUCCAGGAAUUACUGGAGCAAAUCUUACCUGGAAAAAAAGGUCUCUCCUAUACAGAGGCAGCCGCUGAACAUGUGUGUUAUGUCUAAUCCAUGCUGAGGUUCCAAACACCCACUUAGCCCUAUAUACCCAGAAAAGAGGCAUUUUUUGGUGAGACUUGAACAUCCACACAUUGAUAGUAAUCUGAUUUUUAAUUCAUUUUGCAUGUUUUUAACUGGGAAACAGAAGGAACAUCAUCAGCCUUUCAUUUAGCCUUGCAGCUCCAUGGUGGAAGAGACAGAGUAUAGCAUCUCUUUUAAAGACGAGCAAAUGGAGGAAUUCUAUCUCAGGAUUAAUAGGCACUUGCAUCAUUUCUGUCCUAUGUGCUAUAUUAAGGAGCAACUACAUCAUCAGCAAAUAUUUCUGUUGUGCUGAUACUGCACACAAAGUCAAACGCAAAGGACAUCUGGCCAAAAGCUGCUGGAGCAUGUCACCUGCAGCCCAGCACCUCUAUGUGAAACUGAUGCACCAUGCCUACAUGUGCGGAAUUACAAUAGCGACUGUCAUUACUCAGCUGAUGUGUCAAAAGGGUUCAUGCAGGUCACAGCGCAAGAGUUUGGGUGAAAGUAGGCAUUUGUCAAAGAGGAAGGUGAGGAAACACAGAAGGAGCAGGAAUUUGCCUUGCAGGAGCCCUGGUCUGGAAUUCCUCAUCCUCUCUACAC